rfam:Pyronema omphalodes CBS 100304, CBS100304, WGS project CATG01000000 data, contig: Pcon_v1_contig1715
GGCCCUGUGGCCUAAUGGUAAGGCGUUGGUUUUCGGUUUCUAAACCACCAAAGAUUGUGCGUUCGAGUCGCAUCGGGGUCG